UCCGAUUACAAUCUUCAUUUCUUCUGUUUCUCUCGCCACAAUUUCCUCCCCAAAUCUUCGCUGAUAGUAGAAAUGAAGAGUCGAUUAUCUUCCAAACGAGACUGGACUAGCUCAUGGAUCCACACUCCUUUCCAGUAAGAAUUGAACCGGGAUUAAAAAUGCUAAUCAGUUACUCAAGUUGGUAAACUCAAUCCCAAGCCAAAGGCCAAAGAGCUUAGCUCAAUGGUAUUGGCAUGUAUUCCCUCUCUUGAGGAUGGAGCCUACAUCAUGUAUCUAACUAUGAGUUGAGAAGCAUUGAUUCUUGCUCACCUGUGAUGGAGUGACUCCGGCGGCGAUGUCCCAGUUGGAAUCAUACUCAGGCAUGAUGUAAACAGGUUCUGCGCCAGAAAAUACCAAAGCAGAUAUAGCUGAUGCAUGGGAGUUUCUAGGAAGAAUUAUAUGUUCGCCUGGAGAACAAGUUGCCAUAAUUGCAGCUUGAAUUCCACUUGUGGUUCCUUCAACGAGGAACCAAGUCUCUAAUGCUCCAAAAAGUUUAGCUGCUUGUUGCAGCGCUUCUAGUAUUGGGCCCUGGGGACGUAAAAGGUUGUCAAGCUCUGGAAGUGGAGGCAAGUCAUGGAUAAAGGGUUUUAGACCAAUGAGCUGAGUUAAUGAUGAUGGUGCUGCCCUCCCUUUAUUGUGUCCAGGAAAGUGAAAAUCAGCUGUAUUUUGUUCGGCAGAAGCUCGCUAAGCUCUAAUCAGAGGAGGGUCACUACCUUCCUGGGUUCUUAGAGAGUCUGACCCAUUGGGAUCUUUACUUGACUCAACGAUGCCCGUUUCCUGCAAGAAAAUUGAAAUACAUAAUUCUGCAUCUUGUGAUGUCAUUCAGUAUCGUAAUUUUGUAUCUCUUUGUUGCUCGUCAUGUUAAAAUUAGGUCCUUGUCCUUAACAUUUUAGAUAUAUGAAGUCACCUGUCAAGUAAAAUCCAUGUAUGAAGCAGACUACACCCUACACUUUUAUCUUGGUUUAUAAGUUGAUAGACUGAAGUUGCACAGGGAAAUCUAAAGAAUUCCCCACCACAGACAGCAGGGGCACAAUAACUGUGUGACCUGGAACAAGUUAUUAAAUUAUUUUCA